rnacentral:rRNA from 1 species
UAAGCAAUCUAUACCGUGAACUGCGAAUGGCUCAUUAAAUCAGUUAUCGUUUAUUUGAUAGUACCUACUUACUUGGAUAACCGUGGUAAUUCUAGAGCUAAUACAUGCUAAAAACCCCGACUUCGGAAGGGGUGUAUUUAUUAGAUAAAAAACCAAUGCCCUUCGGGGCUCCCUGGUGAUUCAUAAUAACUUAACGAAUCGCAUGGCCUUGCGCCGGCGAUGGUUCAUUCAAAUUUCUGCCCUAUCAACUUUCGAUGGUAGGAUAGUGGCCUACCAUGGUGGCAACGGGUAACGGGGAAUUAGGGUUCGACUCCGGAGAGGGAGCCUGAGAAACGGCUACCACAUCCAAGGAAGGCAGCAGGCGCGCAAAUUACCCAAUCCCGACACGGGGAGGUAGUGACAAUAAAUACUGAUGUGGAGCUCUUUUGGGUUUCACAAUUGGAAUGAGAACAAUUUAAACCCCUUAACGAGGAACAAUUGGAGGGCAAGUCUGGUGCCAGCAGCCGCGGUAAUUCCAGCUCCAAUAGCGUAUAUUAAAGUUGUUGCAGUUAAAAAGCUCGUAGUUGAACCUUGGGCCUGGCCGACCGGUCCGCCUCACCGCGUGUACUGGCUCGGCCGGGCCUUUCCUUCUGGGGAACCGCAUGCCCUUCACUGGGUGUGCCGGGGAAUCAGGACUUUUACUUUGAAAAAAUUAGAGUGUUCAAAGCAGGCAUUUGCUCGAAUACAUUAGCAUGGAAUAAUAGAAUAGGACGUCGUGGUUCUAUUUUGUUGGUUUCUAGGACCGCCGUAAUGAUA